AGCGAACGCUGGCGGCAGGCUUAACACAUGCAAGUCGAGCGCCCGUAGCAAUACGGGAGCGGCAGACGGGAGAGUAACACGUGGGAACAUGCCCUUCGGUUCGGAAUAACUCAGGGAAACUUGAGCUAAUACCGGAUACGUCCGUAAGGAGAAAGAUUUAUCGCCGAAGGAUUGGCCCGCGUCCGAUUAGCUUGUUGGUGAGGUAAUGGCUCACCAAGGCGACGAUCGGUAGCUGGCUGAGAGGAUGAUCAGCCUCACUGGGACUGAGACACGGCCCAGACUCCUACGGGAGGCAGCAGUGGGGAAUAUUGGACAAUGGGCGAAAGCCUGAUCCAGCCAUGCCGCGUGGGUGAUGAAGGCCUUAGGGUUGUAAAGCCCGUUUCGGCGGGGAAGAUAAUGACGGUACCCGCAGAAGAAGCCCCGGCUAACUUCGUGCCAGCCGCCGCGGUAAC
rnacentral:rRNA from 1 species